GAUGAACGCUGGCGGCGUGCCUAAUACAUGCAAGUCGAGCGAACAGACGAGGAGCUUGCUCCUCUGACGUUAGCGGCGGACGGGUGAGUAACACGUGGAUAACCUACCUAUAAGACUGGGAUAACUUCAGGAAACCGGAGCUAAUACCGGAUAAUAUAUUGAACCGCAUGGUUCAAUAGUGAAAGACGGUUUUGCUGUCACUUAUAGAUGGAUCCGCGCCGCAUUAGCUAGUUGGUAAGGUAACGGCUUACCAAGGCAACGAUGCGUAGCCGACCUGAGAGGGUGGUCGGCCACACUGGAACUGAGACACGGUCCAGACUCCUACGGGAGGCAGCAGUAGGGAAUCUUCCGCAAUGGGCGAAAGCCUGACGGAGCAACGCCGCGUGAGUGAUGAAGGUCUUCGGAUCGUAAAACUCUGUUAUUAGGGAAGAACAAAUGUGUAAGUAACUAUGCACGUCUUGACGGUACCUAAUCAGAAAGCCACGGCUAACUACGUG
rnacentral:rRNA from 1 species